CAGAGCAGCAAGACCCAUGGGAUUUCAUCAGCCACUCACCAUCAGAGUCCUCAGUGGAAGCUGAGAAGAGCAGAAGAGGAAGCCAAGCAAGAGAUGCCAGAAAAAAGGGGGAAGGAAAUAAUGUUAUUUUGCUGUUUGAAUAUAGGUAGGCGCAGUGGGUAGCACAAUCGCCUCACAGCAAGAAGGUCGCUGGUUCGAGCCUAGGCUGGGUCAGUUGGCAUUUCUGUGUGGAGUUUGCAUGUUCUCCCCAUGUAAUCGUGGGUUUCCUCCGAGUGCUCCCACAAGUCCAAAAAUAUGUGGUGACAUUGGGUAAGCUAAAAUUGUCCGUAGUGUAUGUGUGUGAAUGAGUGUGUAUGGAUGUUUCCCAGUGAUGGGUUGCAACUGGGUGGCAACACAGUGGCACAGUAGGUAGUGCUGUGGCCUCACAGCAAGAAGGUUGCUGGUUUGAGCCUCGGCUGGGUCAGUUGGCGUUUCUGCGUGGCGUUCUCCCUGCGUUCGUGUGGAUUUCCUCCGGGUGCUCCGGUUUCCCUCAGAGUCCAAAGACAUGCAGUACAGGUGAAUUGGGUAGACUAAAUUGUCCGUAGUGUAUGCGUGUGAAUGGGAGUGUAUGGAUGUUUCCCAGAGAUGGGUUGCAGCUGGAAGGGUAUCCACUGCGUAAAACUUAUGCUGGAUAAGUUGGUGGUUCAUUCCACUGUGGCGACCCCAGAUUAACAAAAGGACAAAGCUGAAGAGAAAAUGAAUAAUUAUAGGCAAUGAUAGACAAGACAAUGUUUGAUAAAGAAGUGUUUUAAAAUGCUUAUUUAUUAAAAUAAAGGUUACAAAGUAAAGAAGAAA
ensembl:processed_transcript